AAUGAACGCUGGCGGCAUGCCUAACACAUGCAAGUCGAACGAAGGCUUCGGCCUUGGUGGCGCACGGGUGCGUAACGCGUGGGAAUCUGCCCUCAGGUUCGGAAUAACAGCGAGAAAUUGCUGCUAAUACCGGAUGAUAUCGCGAGAUCAAAGAUUUAUCGCCUGAGGAUGAGCCCGCGUAGGAUUAGCUAGUUGGUGUGGUAAAGGCGCACCAAGGCGACGAUCCUUAGCUGGUCUGAGAGGAUGAUCAGCCACACUGGGACUGAGACACGGCCCAGACUCCUACGGGAGGCAGCAGUGGGGAAUAUUGGACAAUGGGCGAAAGCCUGAUCCAGCAAUGCCGCGUGAGUGAUGAAGGCCUUAGGGUUGUAAAGCUCUUUUACCCGGGAUGAUAAUGACAGUACCGGGUGAAUAAGCUCCGGCUAACUCCGUGCCAGCAGCCGCAGUAA
rnacentral:rRNA from 1 species